rnacentral:rRNA from 1 species
GUGCACCAGUCGCGAAUCCUCCGCAAUACACGAAAGUGUGACGGGGCCAUCCCGAGUGCCGUCCGCUGAGGACGGCUUUUCCCCAGUGUACAUAGCUGGGGAAUAAGGAGAGGGCAAGCCUGGUGUCAGCCGCCGCGGUAAUACCAGCUCUCCGAGUGGUGGGGACGCUUAUUGGGCCUAAAGCAUCCGUAGCCGGCUGGGCAAGUCCUCCGUAAU